rnacentral:rRNA from 1 species
UACGUAGGGGGCUAGCGUUGUCCGGAAUCAUUGGGCGUAAAGCGCGUGUAGGCGGUUUGGUAAGUCCGCUGUGAAAGUCGGGGGCUCAACCCUCGGAUGCCGGUGGAUACUGUCGGACUAGAGUACGGAAGAGGCGAGUGGAAUUCCUGGUGUAGCGGUGAAAUGCGCAGAUAUCAGGAGGAACACCGAUUGCGAAGGCAGCUCGCUGGGACGUUACUGACGCUGAGACGCGAAAGCGUGGGGAGCAAACAGG